GCCUGGGAAUACAGUUGUCCCACGUUAUCCAUGGUGGGAAUCUUCCGAGACUCCGGUGAAUGCCUGAAACUGAAGAAAGUACCAAACCCCAAAUAGACUGUUUUUCCCCAUACACACAUACCUAUGAUAAAGUUAAAUUUAUAAUUUAGGCGCAGUAAGAAACUAACCACAGUAACUAAUAGUAAAAUAGAACAAUCGUAACAAUGUAUGCUAAUAAAAGUUAUGUGAAUGUGGUCUCUCUCAAGAUACUUUAUUACAGCAAGUGUUCCUGUGGUGCUCUGACAUGACAAUGCCUAUGAGAUGCAGUGAGGUGGGCUGAUGUCAGUACGGUGUGGCAGUGUGGGGCUGUGAGUGACCUCACCUGAACACAAGACCUGCGGUACUGCUACAGCCUGUGUGCUAAGUGUGAUGGCAGUCAAGUGACUGGCUAGUGGGCAGUGUGUACAGUGAGGAUGAACUGGACAAAGAGGUAGCUCCUUUCCUGGGCAAGGUUCGAGACAGUGAAAGAUUUCAUUAUGUUAAGCAGGACGGUUUGCAACUUAACACUUACAAGUUACUUAUUUCUGGAAUUUUCUGUUUACUCUUUUUGGACCAUGGUUGAUCUCAGGUCACCGAAAUCAUAGACAGCAAAACUGUAGGUAAAGGCGACACUACUGUUCCCAUAGGCAGGCAGUGCUGCAGGUAGAAAUCUACUGGGGUGGAGGGCGGGACAUGAGACACACAUGGCAGGGGCCAGGGACAAGCUGGGAGGCUGUUGGUGUUUUUAGGCAGCCAUUGGUGAACACGACAGCCAUGGAAAGCUGGGAUAGAGGAGAAAUGUUUAGGAGACCAGCACUGCACAACUCGGUGAUUGGUUAGACACCAGGGGUGAGGAAAGGGAAACCAAGAAGAGCUUUCAGUAUUUUGGGGUAGACAGAGGAAGGUGGAAGGUGGGGGGCUAGAUUCCCAUUGACCUGAGUGAGGCCUCCCUUUCACUAGUAUUAGGGCCAACGACAGAACAAAUGCUAUGCUUCCUCUGCCCCCGGGGAAGAUGGCCUGUGCUGCUGGAAGGAUUCUUCCGAAUUGCCCGGGCCUGCCCAGAGGAAGUGGCAGGAGCUGGACUUGGCGUAGCGUUCACCAGGGAUCUUCCCUCGUUGCCCUCGGCUAUCUGACCCCUCUCAGAUAAGAUGGUUUUUCCCUGCCAGAGCUUGCAACAUGCUGAAAUACAGUCGUCCACAUGCCUCAUCUUCAAAUGCCCUGAAAAUGUCAUCUCUCUCUCUCUCUCUCUCUCCUAUCUCUCUCUCUCUCUCUAUUUUGUAUCUCUCCUAUUGUGCUAUCUCUCCCUGCAGAUAAGUGACACUUUCUUUUAAAAAAGUAAGCAAAGAGUGAAAUCACCUAAAGUCAAAAGGUAAAUGAGUGUAUGGUGAAAUUUUGUCUUUUAUUACUGUUUUUCACUGCCUGGGUAGGACCCUUUCUGCCAGCCCCUCAUUGAGGAGGUGCCUCCUUGUGUGUGUGGUGUUGGUGGAAGGUCAUGCUCACUUCCAAAUCCAGGACCUAGAGAGACCAGAUCUGACUUCUGGCCAUGGUCCAGCCAGGGACAGGCACGUGACAUAGCUUGGACUGGCUCCACACUCUGUUGGGGGAGGAAUGGAAGGAGGUUGAUGGUUCCGUGUUGGGUGCUUUCCUGCAAGCUGACCACACGUGCUUCCUGCUGCAGUAGCUUUGCUGUAGUCCUCACUGCCUGGGCCUCUGGGGCUCUCUCGGUUCUCAUCUGUUUGCCAAGCCUGUUUCUGCAGCCAUUUGUUUUUGUAUUUGUUAUUUAUUUGAAAGCCAGAAUCACAGAGAGGGGAGGUGGGAGGGAGACAGACAGGCAGACAGACAGAAAGGUCUUCCAUCCAUUGGUCCACUCCCAGAUGGCUGCAAUGGCUAGAGCUGAGCUGGUCUGAAGCCAGGAACCAGGAGCUUCUUCCGGGUCUCCCACAUGCAGGGGCCCAAGCACUUGGGCCACCUUCCAUUUUCUUCCCAGGAACAUGAGCAGGAAGCUGGAUUGAAAGUGGAGCAGCCAGGACUUAAUUGGUGCCCAUAUAGGAUGCUGGCAUCACAGGCAGUGGGCUAACCGCCUACACCACAGCACCGUCCCCUGCAGCCAUUUGUUGAUACCGUGGAUCCUGACAGUCUUUCAGUAAGAACUUUGCGUUUGCAGUGGGCGUCCGGUGCUGUGGUUACAACACCAUGUGGGAUGCCCACAUCCCUCAUCAGGGUGCUUGGUUCAAGUCCCACCUCUGCUUCCGUUUCUAGCUUUCUGCUAACGUGUACCAUAGGAGGCAGCAGGUGAUGGUUUAAGUACUUGGGUCCCUACCCCUACAUGGGAGACCUGAAACUGAGUUCCUGGAUCCUGGCUUCAGCCUGGCCCAGUUGCAGCAGUUGCAGGCACUUGGAGAGUGAACCAAUGGAUGAAAAAGUCUGUCUGUCUGUCUCUCUCUCUCUCUCUCUCUGCCUUAAAAAAAAGUUUGUGCUUACCAGAGCCAAGCUUUAUUUCUGUUACUUGCAAAUAAUAAUCUUGGCUGGGCAGAACGUCCACAUAGGGAAGGGAUUCUGGGACUGGGACACUCCCAAACACUUACUUUCUCCUUCACCUGUUGCUCCCCAAGCCCUUCCAUCAUAUGUGCUUAUGUGUGUACUGGGGCCAAGGGCUGAUCUAGACCAGAGAGAAUGAUUUCUAAGUACUAGGACUGACGUACCAAAAGAAAUCAUCUGCUGGGGGCCAGCAGUGUGGCUUAGUGAAUAAAGCUGCCACCUAUAGUGCUGGUUCGAGACCCAGCUGCUCCAUUUCCGAUCCACUGCUCUGCUAUGGCCUGGGAAAGCAAAAGAAGAUAGCCCAAGUGCGUGGGCCCCUGCCCCCAUGCGGGAGACCUGGAAGAAGCUCCUGGCUCCUGGCUUCAGCUUGGCCCAGCUCCAGCUGUUGCGGCCACUUGGGGAGUGAACCAGCAGAUGGAAGACCUCUCUUUUUCUUUCUCUGCCUCUGCCUCUCUCUAACUCUGCCUUUCAAAUAAAUAAAUAAAUCUUUAAAACAAAGAAAUCAUCUGCUAAGAAAACUGGACUCAAGCCCACUUAAGGGAUUACUGCGUUGCCUCAAACUGACAGAUUUAAACAUACUGAGUUGAAGAAGAACGUUGUCUCUGGGUGAGGGUUAAAGAUGAAGAACUGAAAAGCAUAGAGCUGUAGAAUUUGCUUCUACACCCUUGGCAGGAACAUCAUCAGAGCAGCAAGGCUGAGCCAGAGCAAGGGAUCUGGUGAUAUUUUACAGUUUUGCGUAAGGCACCUGCUUUGUUAUAAGUAGUUCCUAAAACUGAUGCUUCCGAUGUGGGGCUUAGCUUGAGGGCAGGAGGAAGGCAGUAACAGUUCCUGUGAGCGCCUAUUGUGUGACUGAGCUUCCAUCUACAUUUGAUAUGGGCCUGAGAAUCAUCAUUUUUUUAAUUCCAGGUCCUUGACCCCAUAGAGAGAAGGAUUCCAAGUGCAGGCAUCCAUAUGUGUAUGGCACACAUGAGAGCAGGAUUUGCUUAACAGGGAGGGAAUAAACAAACAUUCAUGCAUGGGUGUGGGCUGCCUCCUGGAGAAAUACCCAUCAGGAGGGGGCCAGAGCUUGCCCUUGAAAGAGAAAAAGAGAGAGGUACCGUCCAGUGUGAUCCAUGGAGAGAGACCGCUCCCUCGUUCUCAGCCUCUUUUUAUGAGUUAGGAGCUGGCACCUUAAUUGGAUAAACAGAUAGGGUGAGGUCUUAACACGUGUCCUGGUCCCAGCUGCGACACAGGUGCAUCCUGGGAAGAAGAGCAUAUUAAGCCGAUAGUUAAAGACAUACAGUUUCGUUGCGGGGCUGUACGAACUCCAGCUUGCUUAGACUUAACUGGCUGCCUAGUUACACCAAGUCACAUUGAUUUGUUUAAUUCACCCCGCAAACCCUCUUUUAUUCACAAGGAAACCGCAGACUGGAGACUCGCACAGAAGCAGAGUUUGCGACGGCAGAGCUGGGACUUGCGCCCUUCCUACGGUACUGUCAUACCUUCCGAAGGUGGCAGGAGAGAGGCAGGGGUGGGGAAGGACCCACAGAGAGACAUUAGGACAUAGGUAGACCACGCAGGCCCUUCUCUGCCCCUCACCUCCCCCUCAAUCUGUCUUUGGUCUCUCUCUGGGCCUAGAGAAGCUGAGCCCCACAGCCAGCCUCCCCUGGGCACCUUGCCCUCUGCUUUCCACUGGUGUCUGGCCAGCGAAGGUCCCUGACAGACGGCCAGAGGCUGGGAGGAGAGAGACAGGGUAUUUCUCCCCCCUUCCCUAUUGGUGUCGGUGCCAUUGGCCUAGCUCUUCUCGCACCGAGUUCCUGCCAGGCAGGCCCUGCUUGGGCUCUGCCUCCCGUGAGAGUGCUUUCCUCCCCUUGAGACCCCGAGGUAGCAACAGCUUCCUGCCCUGCCAGUCUUUGGUAGGUUCUCUUAGCCCCACCCAUGCUUCUGUAACGGAUCCUGUUAUGAAAACCUGCUAACUUGGGACCAGCGUCAAGCCGCAGCCUGCAACGCUGGCAUCCUAUAUGGGCGCUGCUUCGUGUCCUAGCUGCUCCACUUCCAAUCCAGGUUCCAGCUAACAGCCUGGGAAAAGCAGCAGGAGAUGGCUUGAGUGCUUGGGCCCCUGAGACCUGGAAGAAGCUCCUGGUUUCGGCCUGACCCAGCCUUGUCUGUUGCAGCCAUCUGGGGAGUGAACCAGUGGGUGGAAGAUCUCUCUCUCUCUCUGUAACUCUGACUUUCAAAUAUAUAAAUAAAUCUAAACACACACACACACACACACACAAAACCCUCUUAACUUAAACCACCUUGAGCCUACCUUUAUAACCUGCAGGGACUGUGUAUGAUACAAAUUGUAUUCUAUUUUAUUGAAACUGUCUUCCUUUGCUUAAAGUAUCUGUAGUGCUUUUCCGAAAAAUCAAGAGCCCCUGAGAUAUUUAAAGCAAUGUGAGCUAUGAGCAUCUGACUCACAUGCAGCUUUCCAGGAGGCAGGCAACCAGGACCAAGAUAAAACGAGGGGAACGGGUUAUGUAAAAGUCUACUUCACUUAAGAAACUCAGGCAAAUGUUCUUUCCGCCUAGCACUCUUAGGGCAACAGUGUCUCUGUUGUAAAUGAGAAAUUGAUUUCUGUAGACAUGCGCAGAAUUGAGCUAUUACUCUCCCUUUUUCAGUUGAUGUCAUCAAAAUAUGAUCCCCUGGGAUUUGCAGUAGCCCAGCAUUCAUUUAUUCCUUCUCCGGCGUUUUGUUUGGUGCUUACCAAGUGCCUCACACCAUCCCCUGCCAUUGGGGAAACCAAGAGAAAUGAGCUGUGGCCCUGGCCAACAGGCAUAACCUGGGCACAGUGUGAGGCCUGGAUGAGGCUCUCAGCUGUCACAGAUAAGCUGUGUGACCGUGGGCAAGUUCAACGUUCUGCUCCUCUGGACUCUUGGUGCCUCCACUGAUCAAACCCAACCGGAAGCUGGAUGUCAAAUGAACCCAUUGAUGCAGCCCACAUGGGUCAGUCUCCAGGGCACAGAUGAAGGCAGGAGAGGAGGAUACCCGACACAGCCGGUAGGUGCUCUCUGCUUGCAGAAGCAAACGGAAGGACCUAAACUCGGAGGCAAGCCUGGGAUGCUGAGAACGGAGAAGAGAAAUGACACAGGGCCGUUCCGAAGUUCUAUGUCUACUUUGUGACACUUGUCCAUCAAUGACGCCUGUGAACGUGGCCUCUCUCGGGAGUGGUGGGCCCCAUGAGCUCAGCUGCAAAUUGGAAGAAGGGUAAGAAGAAUGGAGGCGUAUAUUCUUAGCACCAUCAGUUUUUCUCCUGGGCUAACUCACUGGAGCUUUAAAGUCACUGUCUGCUGCCUGGGGAGAACACAGAGGGCAGAGAAGGUCAAGGUCAAGGCAAGACGGGUGCAACGCUUGCCCGGGCCCCUGGGAUCACCUUGCCGUACGCGGUCUUGUACUUCUGCUUUAUCUGUUGCCUCUGCUCCGAUGUCCUGGUUGAUAAGAUUUCAAUGAUGGCCGCCUCGUCCGUUCCUAAAGUGCGGAGAAAGAAGCAAAGCUGCAGUGAAUGCGAAACAGGAAGCAGGCUGAUCUGACUCAAGUCCAGAAUCCGGAUCUCCAGCUCAGAGGCUUUGUUCAGCUUUUUGACAUCUCGAUCCACAUCAAAACCCUGAUGACUUCUCGCUUUGGCCUGGAGAAAAUAAUGGGAAAAGUGAGUAAACAAUACAGGUAGACUUAAAUCAUCUCUGGCUGAAAUUUGCAGCUAACUGCAAGACUGAGUAGUCAGCCAGACAAGGGACCCGCUGCCAUUCCCCACAUCGGCACACGUGGAAAUCAGCAGGGGAAACUCUGGCCCGGUGGCUGGUACUCCUCACGGCCAGCUGGCCUUGGAUGACCGUAAGAGAAUGGCCACCUCUGUCCUCAAGUACAAUUGGUCUGGCCAGCUCUGCAAGGAGCAAUUUUCAUAGCAACCCCAGCUUUGUGUAUUUGUGUCUGAAACAGAGAAAACGCAGUGCUCCAGUGUCACAGAGGGCUGGUUUUCCCCUUUGGCCACAAGACCCAAGUAUGUCCAGGGGAUAACUUUUGCCUGCCAGAGACUGAGAGCUCCUGGCUCUGAUUACAGAUUCAUUUGGUACUGUAGACCUCUGUCAUCCCUACGGUGAGAUGCUGCCGAAUUUGCUGAGAUACUCUAUGACCAAGCAAGAGCAUGGGUUUUUUGGGGCAGAAAAGGGCCUCUUUAUGUACUGAGCUUCACCCAUUGGCAUACUAUAUGCCCCAACUGGUCUUUAGUUACUGAGGUCUAUAUUACUACUUUCAACUGAUUUUUGCUUUUAACUUAAAAUAGUUAAAAAAAAAAAAAAACUCAUAGAAAUCGAGUCUAAUGGUGGUUACUGGAGACCGGGGAGGGAGUUGGUUGGGAAGGAUGAAGAAAGGUUGAGGAAUGGCUGUGAACUUACAGCUGGCUGGUAGUAGGAGGUUCUAGCCCUCUGUUGCACAGUAGGGUGACUAUAGAUAAAGUACUGUGCAUUUGUCCAUGAAAAGAGAAAGUUAGAAGAUAGGAUUCUGGAUGCUUUGCCCAAAAGAGAUGUUAGAUAUUUGAGGAGAUGGAUAUAUUCACCUUGACUGGACUUUACACAGUGUAUACAUUUAUCAAAAUAUCGCAUGCUUGGGGCUAGUGUUAUGGUAUAGAGGCUGAAGCCACUGCCUCUGAUGCCAGCAUCUAUAUGGGCACUGGUCAAGUCUCAGCUGCUCCUCUUCCCAUGUAGCUCCCUGCUAAUGUGCCUGAGAAAGCAGCAGAAAAUGGCAUAAGUGCUUGGUCCCCUGUCACCCACGUAGGAGAUCUGGAUGAAGCUCUUGGCUCCUGGCUUUGACCUGGCCUGACCUGGGGCAUUGCAGCCAUUUGGAAAGUGAACCAGUAGAUGGAAGAUCUCUUUCUCUCUCUCUCUCUCUCUCUCUCUCUCUCUCUCUCUCUCUCUCCCCCUCCCUCCCUCCCUCUCUCCCUCCCCCUCCCCCCCCCUCUCUGGCUCUCCUUUUUCCUCUGUAACUCUGCUUUUCAAGUAAAUAAAAUAAAUUUUUUUGAGAAAAAUCAUGGCAACUCAUAAAUAUAUUUAAUAAAAAGUAGCUUCUUAAAACCCUACAAAAAGAAUGAAACUUCUAUUAGCAUGGAAAUGGAAAACAAUUUUCACUUGCCUAAGCAGAGGGUACCUAAUAAUGAAUAUAGCACUAUUAAAAAUACAUCACUACCAGCUAAUGGCAGCUGUGCAUCCAGUAGUCUUGAACACACCCUGAGUUUUCUCAGCUCUUUGCCUUUCUUUACCUCUGCGAAGUGCCUCAUGUCCAUUGGAGAUUCCCCAUCCUUCACAGAAGGUGAUUCAGAGCUACUGUGCACCAGCCCCACCCUGAAACUGUUCUCCCUGCUUUCACAUCCUUUGGCCGCGGUUGCAUGAACAGGAAAGCACACAUGGCCCAGGAGCCACGUUACGUGUAUCUGCUUGGCACUGUCCUAUCCUUUGGGCUACUUCCCUUUCCCCCAUUCUUAUAGGGCCACUAGGGCUGUCAGCCAUGAGGCUUGAGCCUCAGUGCCUGGCCCUCUGGGGCUAAUGUGGAAUUGGACCCUGUGCCCCGGUGCUAGUGACUUGUUCAGGAGUGGGGAUGUAAUCCAAGCAGGAUCUGUUAGUGUUUCUCUUGAUUCAUACCCUGAGAGGGAUGCAUGUCUUUCCCUACUGCACUUGCUGAGAGACUGUGUGUCUGGGUGGCUUUGAACAGUACAUAAAGG